rnacentral:rRNA from 1 species
CACAGAGGGAUGCGAAGCGGCGACGCGGAGCGAACCCCGGAAAAGGCGCCCCAGUUCGGAUUGCAGCCUGCAACUCGGCUGCAUGAAGCUGGAAUCGCUAGUAAUCGCGGAUCAGAAUGUCGCGGUGAAUACGUUCCCGGGUCUUGUACACACCGCCCGUCACACCGUGGGAGCCGGGAAUGCCCGAAGUCGGUGACCCAACCGAAAGGAGGGAGCCGCCGAAGGCAGGUCUGGUAACUGGGGUGAAGUCGUAACAAGGUACC